AGAGUUUGAUCAUGGCUCAGAAUAAACGCUGGCGGCGUGCCUAACACAUGCAAGUUGAGCGGUAAGGCCCCUUCGGGGGUACACGAGCAGCGAACGGGUGAGUAUCGCGUGGGUAACCUACCCAGAAGUGGGGGAUAGCCUCGGGAAACCGGGGGUAAUACCGCAUAAGGUUUCGACGACAUAAGUCGAUGAGAGCAAAGGCGGGGAUCCUUCGGGACCUGUCGCUUCUGGAUGGGCCCGCGUCCGAUUAGCUAGUUGGUGAGGUAAUGGCUCACCAAGGCUGCGAUCGGUAGCCGGCCUGAGAGGGUGAACGGCCACAUUGGGACUGAGACACGGCCCAGACUCCUACGGGAGGCAGCAGUGGGGAAUCUUGGGCAAUGGGGGAAACCCUGACCCAGCGACGCCGCGUGGAGGAUGACGGCCUUCGGGUUGUAAACUCCUGUCAGGUGGGAAGAAAAGCUUGUCGGCUAAUACCCGGCAGGAAUUGACGGUACCACCAAAGGAAGCCCCGGCUAACUCCGUGCCAGCAGCCGCGGUAAUACGGAGGGGGCAAGCGUUAUUCGGAUUUACUGGGCGUAAAGCGCACGUAGGUGGCAUGGUAAGUCACAGGUGAAAGCCCUCGGCUCAACCGAGGAACUGCCUAUGAAACUGCCUUGCUUGAGUCC
rnacentral:rRNA from 1 species